rnacentral:rRNA from 1 species
GACGAACGCUGGCGGCGUGCUUAACACAUGCAAGUCGAACGGAAAGGCCCUGCUUUUGUGGGGUGCUCGAGUGGCGAACGGGUGAGUAACACGUGAGUAACCUGCCCUUGACUUUGGGAUAACUUCAGGAAACUGGGGCUAAUACCGGAUAGGAGCUCCUGCUGCAUGGUGGGGGUUGGAAAGUUUCGGCGGUUGGGGAUGGACUCGCGGCUUAUCAGCUUGUUGGUGGGGUAGUGGCUUACCAAGGCUUUGACGGGUAGCCGGCCUGAGAGGGUGACCGGCCACAUUGGGACUGGGAUACGGCCCAGACUCAUACGGGAGGCAGCAGUGGGGAAUAUGGCACAAUGGGCGGAAGCCUGAUGCAGCAACGCCGCGUGCGGGAUGACGGCCUUCGGGUUGUAAACCGCUUUCGCCUGUGACGAAGCGUGAGUGACGGUAAUGGGUAAAGAAGCACCGGCUAACUACGU